rnacentral:tRNA from 1 species
GGAGAGGUGGCCGAGUGGCCGAAGGCGGCGGUUUGCUAAACCGCUGUAGGGGCUAAAACCUCUACCGAGGGUUCAAAUCCCUCCCUCUCCGCCA